UUCGCACGUUCUUUCUUCCCACUUCCGUCUUUCUUGUGGAGGUAUGUGGGCUGUUGGACCAUGGAGUUUUCCUAUAGUGCUUCCUCAGAUUUUGAUCAUACUGGAGCCAAAUGGGUAACCUUAAAUUCAUCAGACUUCGUUUCAGAAGUCUUUAACGCUGUAAAACGGGAGGAAUUCUGUAAUUCAAGCGGACCACACAGUGACCCUUGAUGAAUGGCCACAUGUGAAGGUGUUUGAGUGAUUUGUGCUCCUGAAGGCCCUUCAGUGCCAAACCCACGUGGAGCAGAGGAAGUACACGAUGGGUUUUCUCCAAGCAGUCUAGCGUUUACCAGCCAUAGGGGAGGAAAUGCCUUUUUGAGAGCAUUAAAGUUGCUUUUAUUUUGACCUACUAGUGUUCCAACAUGCUGUUUUUGAAGAGGCAUUCAAGUUUGUUCAAUUGUAACUUGUUUGUUCGAUGCAAGUGUAAAGCGUCUGGCAGAUACCUUUUACAUGUUCAAUAAAACUAAGCCAUGAACUGAAA